rnacentral:rRNA from 1 species
UGGCUCAGAUUGAACGCUGGCGGCAGGCCUAACACAUGCAAGUCGAGCGGUAACAGGUCCUUCGGGGCGCUGACGAGCGGCGGACGGGUGAGUAACGCAUGGGAACUUACCCAGUAGUGGGGGAUAGCCCGGGGAAACCCGGAUUAAUACCGCAUACGCCCUGAGGGGGAAAGCGGGCUCCGGCUCGCGCUAUUGGAUGGGCCCAUGUCGGAUUAGUUAGUUGGUGGGGUAAAGGCCUACCAAGGCGACGAUCCGUAGCUGGUCUGAGAGGAUGAUCAGCCACACCGGGACUGAGACACGGCCCGGACUCCUACGGGAGGCAGCAGUGGGGAAUAUUGGACAAUGGGGGCAACCCUGAUCCAGCCAUGCCGCGUGUGUGAAGAAGGCCUUCGGGUUGUAAAGCACUUUCAGCCGGGAGGAAAAGCUAGUCGUUAAUACCGGCUAUGUGUUGACGUACCUGCAGAAGAAGCACCGGCUAACUCCGUGCCAGCCGCCGCGGUAAUACGGAGGGUGCAAGCGUUAAUCGGAAUUACUAGGCGUAAAGGGCGCGUAGGCGGUCUGAUAAGCAGGUUGUGAAAGCCCCGGGCUCAACCUGGGAAUUGCAAUCCGAACUAUCAUGGCUAGAGUGCAGCAGAGGGCAGUGGAAUUCCCGGUGUAGCGGUGAAAUGCGUAGAUAUCGGGAGGAACACCAGUGGCGAAGGCGACUGCCUGGGCUGACACUGACGCUGCGGUGCGAAAGCGUGGGUACCAAACAGGAUUAGAUACCCUGGUAGUCCACGCUGUAAACGUUGAGAACUAGUCGUUGGGGCUAUUAGAGCCUUAGUGACGCAGCCAACGCGAUAAGUUCUCCGUCCUGGGGAGUACGGCCGCAAGGUUAAAACUCAAAUGAAUUGACGGGGGCCCGCACAAGCGGUGGAGCAUGUGGUUUAAUUCGACGCAACGCGAAGAACCUUACCUGGUCUUGACAUCCUGCGAACUUGCUAGAGAUAGCUUGGUGCCUUCGGGAGCGCAGUGACAGGUGCUACAUGGCCGUCGUCAGCUCGUGUCGUGAGAUGUUGGGUUAAGUCCCGUAACGAGCGCAACCAUUGUCCUCAGUUACCAGCACUUCGGGUGGGCACUCUGGAGAGACUGCAGGUGACUAACCGGAGGAAGGUGGGGAUGACGUCAGGUCAUCAUGGCCAUUACGGCCAGGGCUACACACGUGCUACAAUGGGGCGUACAGAGGGCAGCGAGUGCGCGAGC